UCCCUGGAGGUCCAGUGGUCAAGACACUGUGCUGCCAGUGCAGAGACCAUGGGUUCAAUCCCUGGUCAGGGAA
rnacentral:tRNA from 1 species